rnacentral:rRNA from 1 species
CGAGCGAAGCACUUUGCUUAGAUUCUUCGGAUGAAGAGGAUUGUGACUGAGCGGCGGACGGGUGAGUAACGCGUGGGUAACCAGCCUCAUACAGGGGGAUAACAGUUAGAAAUGACUGCUAAUACCGCAUAAGACCACAGCACCGCAUGGUGCAGGGGUAAAAACUCCGGUGGUAUGAGAUGGACCCGCGUCUGAUUAGCUAGUUGGUAAGGUAACGGCUUACCAAGGCGACGAUCAGUAGCCGACCUGAGAGGGUGACCGGCCACAUUGGGGCUGAGACACGGCCAGACUCCUACGGGAGGCAGCAGUGGGGAAUAUUGGGCAAUGGGCGCAAGCCUGAUCCAGCAACGCCGCGUGAAGGAAGAAGGCUUUCGGGUUGUAAACUUCUUUUGUCAGGGACGAGUAGAAGACGGUACCUGACGAAUAAGCCGCGGCUAACUACGUGCCAGCAGCCGCGGUAAUACGUAGGUGGCAAGCGUUGUCCGGAUUUACUGGGUGUAAAGGGCGUGUAGCCGGGAAGGCAAGUCAGAUGUGAAAUCCACGGGCUCAACUCGUGAACUGCAUUUGAAACUGUUUUUCUUGAGUAUCGGAGAGGCAAUCGGAAUUCCUAGUGUAGCGGUGAAAUGCGUAGAUAUUAGGAGGAACACCAGUGGCGAAGGCGGAUUGCUGGACGACAACUGACGGUGAGGCGCGAA